CAGUCGCCGCGGGAAUACAGAGGGUGCGAGCGUUAAUCGGAUUUACUGGGCGUAAAGCGUGCGUAGGCGGCUUCUUAAGUCGGAUGUGAAAUCCCUGAGCUUAACUUAGGAAUUGCAUUCGAUACUGGGAAGCUAGAGUAUGGGAGAGGAUGGUAGAAUUCCAGGUGUAGCGGUGAAAUGCGUAGAGAUCUGGAGGAAUACCGAUGGCGAAGGCAGCCAUCUGGCCUAACACUGACGCUGAGGUACGAAAGCAUGGGGAGCAAACAGGAUUAGAUACCCCGGUAGUCCCUGUCUCUUAUAA
rnacentral:rRNA from 1 species